rnacentral:rRNA from 1 species
GUGCCAGCAGCCGCGGUAAUACGUAGGGUGCGAGCGUUAUCCGGAAUUAUUGGGCGUAAAGAGCUCGUAGGCGGUUUGUCGCGUCUGUCGUGAAAGUCCGGGGCUUAACCCCGGAUCUGCGGUGGGUACGGGCAGACUAGAGUGCAGUAGGGGAGACUGGAAUUCCUGGUGUAGCGGUGGAAUGCGCAGAUAUCAGGAGGAACACCGGUGGCGAAGGCAGGUCUCUGGGCUGUAACUGACGCUGAGGAGCGAAAGCAUGGGGAGCGAACAGGAUUAGAUACCCUGGUAGUCCAUGCCGUAAACGUUGGGCACUAGGUGUGGGGACCACUCCACGGUUUCCGCGCCGCAGCUAACGCAUUAAGUGCCCCGCCUGGGGAGUACGGCCGCAAGGCUAAAACUCAAAGGAAUUGACGGGGGCCCGCACAAGCGGCGGAGCAUGCGGAUUAAUUCGAUGCAACGCGAAGAACCUUACCAAGGCUUGACAUGUUCUCGAUCGCCGUAGAGAUACGGUUUCCCCUUUGGGGCGGGUUCACAGGCGGUGCAUGGUUGUCGUCAGCUCGUGUCGUGAGAUGUUGGGUUAAGUCCCGCAACGAGCGCAACCCUCGUUCCAUGUUGCCAGCACGUAAUGGUGGGGACUCAUGGGAGACUGCCGGGGUCAACUCGGAGGAAGGUGAGGACGACGUCAAAUCAUCAUGCCCCUUAUGUCUUGGGCUUCACGCAUGCUACAAUGGCCGGUACAAUGGGUUGCGAUACUGUGAGGUGGAGCUAAUCCCAAAAAGCCGGUCUCAGUUCGGAUUGGGGUCUGCAACUCGACCCCAUGAAGUCGGAGUCGCUAGUAAUCGCAGAUCAGCAACGCUGCGGUGAAUACGUUCCCGGGCCUUGUACACACCGCCCGUG